GGCGGCGUGCUUAACACAUGCAAGUCGAGUGCGCGCCUGUAGCAAUACAGGUGGCGCACGGCGCACGGGUGCGUAACACGUGGGCAAUCUGCCCUUCGAUGGGGAAUAACCCCGGGAAACCGGGGCUAAUUCCGCAUAACAUUCCGAGGAUCUCGGUCCUUGGAUUCAAAGCCGCAAGGCGUCGGAGGAGGAGCCCGCGCACGAUUAGCUAGUUGGUGAGGUAACGGCUCACCAAGGCUAUGAUCGUUAGCUGGUCUGAGAGGAUGGCCAGCCACACUGGAACUGAGACACGGUCCAGACUCCUACGGGAGGCAGCAGUGGGGAAUCUUGCACAAUGGGCGAAAGCCUGAUGCAGCGACGCCGCGUGGGGGAUGAAGCUUUUCGGAGUGUAAACCCCUUUCGACCCGGACGAAUGCCCUGCAAGGGGACUGACGGUACGGGUAUAANAAGCCCCGGCUAACUACG
rnacentral:rRNA from 1 species